rnacentral:rRNA from 1 species
UACGUAGGGUCCGAGCGUUGUCCGGAAUUAUUGGGCGUAAAGGGCUCGUAGGCGGUUUGUCACGUCGGGAGUGAAAACUCAGGGCUCAACCCUGAGCGUGCUUCCGAUACGGGCGGACUAGAGGUAUGCAGGGGAGAACGGAAUUCCUGGUGUAGCGGUGGAAUGCGCAGAUAUCAGGAGGAACACCGGUGGCGAAGGCGGUUCUCUGGGCAUUACCUGACGCUGAGGAGCGAAAGCAUGGGGAGCGAACAGG